rnacentral:rRNA from 1 species
UACGGAGGGGGCGAGCGUUAUUCGGAAUCACUGGGCGUAAAGCGUGCGUAGGUGGCGCGUUAAGUGAGAUGUUAAAUCGUGUGGCUCAACCAUAUCGAUGCAUCUCAUACUGGCGUGCUAGAGGACAGCAGAGGCAAGUGGAAUUUGUAGUGUAGCAGUGAAAUGCGUAGAUAUUACAAGGAACACCAAUGGCGAAGGCAGCUUGCUGGGCUACUCCUGACACUGAGGUACGAAAGCGUGGGGAGCGAACAGG